GGGGGCGAUUUGGAAUCGACGAGAGUUGGAACGGUCGCACCGCAAGCAGGUUUGUCGUCAGCCUUAAUGGCGACAAAAAUAAAGGCCAACAACAGCGCCUACGCUCUCGCCGCCUAGUUUCUAGGCUGGCUCUAAGGAGCGCCCCGGCAUCUGAUGCCAGAAGGAAGCCAAGGGGUUCAUAUACUGGCUGUGGGGACGGAGAUCGCCUUCCGACCUGUCCUCAAGAUUUAGGAAGGUGCAACCGGAGCCCAGCUGUCCGUGGCUCGCUAACCGGUACAACCACGGACUAAGCUUGUAGAAGUGUAGCCUUGGAAAAUGAUCGGACCCGGGUUCAAAUCCCGGCGCCUCCACCA
rnacentral:tmRNA from 1 species